UAACCAUGAUGCCCCCUGCUCUGGUGUGUCCCAGCUUCAAAGCUCCCCUAUCAUCCGAGGAACUGCUUCGAAGCAGAGGAUGACUCAUGGAACAGCACCAGCACCCGCACUCUCACCACCUCCUGAAGCGCCAAGAUCCAGCGUAGCAAGGCAUGGAGGAAUGAACCAUGAUGCCCCCUGCUCUGGUGAGCAAUACCUGAUACA